GACGAACGCUGGCGGCGCGCCUAACACAUGCAAGUCGAACGAGCGGGAGAGAGCUGGCUUUCUCAAGCGAGUGGCGAACGGGGGAGUAACGCGUGAGGAACCGGCCUCAAAGAGGGGGACAACAGUGGGAAACGACGGCUAAUACCGCAUAAGCCCACAGGCGGGCAUGGACCAGGGGGAAAAGGAGCAAUCCGCUUUGAGAUGGCCUCGCGUCCGAUUAGCUAGUUGGUGAGGUAACGGCCCACCAAGGCAACGAUCGGUAGCCGGACUGAGAGGUUGAACGGCCACAUUGGGACUGAGACACGGCCCAGACUCCUACGGGAGGCAGCAGUGGGGAAUAUUGCACAAUGGGGGAAACCCUGAUGCAGCGACGCCGCGUGGAGGAAGAAGGUCUUCGGAUUGUAAACUCCUGUUGUUGAGGAAGAUAAUGACGGUACUCAACAAGGAAGUGACGGCUAACUACGUG
rnacentral:rRNA from 1 species